GACGAACGCUGGCGGCGUGCCUAAUACAUGCAAGUCGAACGCUUCUUUCCUCCCGAGUGCUUGCACUCAAUUGGAAAGAGGAGUGGCGGACGGGUGAGUAACACGUGGGUAACCUACCCAUCAGAGGGGGAUAACACUUGGAAACAGGUGCUAAUACCGCAUAACAGUUUAUGCCGCAUGGCAUAAGAGUGAAAGGCGCUUUCGGGUGUCGCUGAGGGAUGGACCCGCGGUGCAUUAGCUAGUUGGUGAGGUAACGGCUCACCAAGGCCACGAUGCAUAGCCGACCUGAGAGGGUGAUCGGCCACACUGGGACUGAGACACGGCCCAGACUCCUACGGGAGGCAGCAGUAGGGAAUCUUCGGCAAUGGACGAAAGUCUGACCGAGCAACGCCGCGUGAGUGAAGAAGGUUUUCGGAUCGUAAAACUCUGUUGUUAGAGAAGAACAAGGACGUUAGUAACUGAACGUCCCCUGACGGUAUCAAACCAGAAAGCCACGGCUAACUACGUG
rnacentral:rRNA from 1 species